rnacentral:rRNA from 1 species
UACGUAGGGAGCAAGCGUUGUCCGGAAUCAUUGGGCGUAAAGCGCGUGUAGGCGGUCCGGUAAGUCCGCUGUGAAAGUCGAGGGCUCAACCCUCGAAUGCCGGUGGAUACUGUCGGGCUUGAGUACGGGAGAGGCGAGUGGAAUUCCUGAUGUAGCAGUGAAAUGCGCAGAUAUCAGGAGGAACACCGAUUGCGAAGGCAGGUCUCUGGGCCACUACUGACGCUGAGAAGCGAAAGCAUGGGGAGCGAACAGG